UACACAGACACAAACAGAGACACACAGAGACAGAGAGAGAGAGUCAUACACACAGAGACAGACACAGAGAGAGACACACACACACAGACAGAGAGAGAGAGACACACACACACAGACAGACACACAGAGACACAGAGAGAGAGUCAUACACACAGAGACACAGACACAGAGAGAGACACACACACACAGACAGAGAGAGAGACACACACACAGACACAGAGAGAGAGAGACACACACACAGACACAAACACAAACACAGAGACACACAGACACACACACAGAAACACAGAGAGAGUCACACACACACAGACACAGAGAGAGAGACACAGACAGAGAGAGAGAGACACACACACACAGACACAAACACAGAGAGAGACAGACAGACACACACACAGAAACACAGAGAGAGUCACACAGACACAGAGAGAGAGACAGACAGACACACACACAGACACAAACACAGAGAGAGACACACAGAGACACAGACACAGAGAGAGAGACACAGACACAGAGAUCAGCCAGCCCCUACCAGUCCACGGGGUCGUGGGCCAGCCGGAGGCAGCCAGCAGGGAAGAGAACAUGCAGACUCCACGUCGGCAGCAGCGCGGCUCGGGGGGCGGCGGCUGCAUUUAAACCCGCCGCCCGCGGCCUGUCCGGGACCAGCCCAUAAUAAUUGGGGGAAGGAAAAAAAAGCCAGAGGCAUUACCAGGAACUCGGAGUCAUCCAGAAUCCCAUCAGCCACCGUUGCAUCCUAAAUAAACCCUCCUAUGGCGAGGGAACCAGUGAGAGAGGUUGGGAGUGGAGACGAGAUUUGUCCACGUCGGCACUGCGCAACAUGGAUCCUGCUCUGCUGGAACCUUCUCUCUACACAGUCAAAGCAAUCGUCAUCUUGGACAACGACGGGGAGCGUCUCCACGCCAAGUACUACGACGACACCUAUCCCUCUACGAAGGAGCAGAGGAGCUUCGAAAAGAGCAUCUUCACCAAGACGCACAAGAAUGACAGCGAAAUUGCGUUCCUGGAGGGUCUGACCAUCAUCUACAAAAGUUCUGUUGACCUGUACUUCUACAUCGUAGGGAGCCCCCAUGAAAAUGAGCUCAUGCUGAUGGCCGUUCUCAACUGCCUGUUUGACUCCGUCAGCCAGAUGUUACGGAAGAACGUGGAGAAGAAGUCCCUGAUGGAGAACUUGGACGGAGUGAUGCUGAUCACGGACGAGAUCGUGGACGGAGGGGUCAUCUUGGAGAGCGAUCCCCAACAGGUCAUUCAGAAAGUGAACUUCAGGGCGGUGUCUGAACCGGCCUACGGCUUCGUGCUCUUUGACUACUUAACGAGCGGCAGUAGCUCUGACAGCCGACUUCUGAACUAGCGGCAGGGUACACAGGUUGACGACACGCCUUUAACGGAACAGAGUAUGUCUCAGGUCUUGCAGUCAGCAAAGGAACAGAUCAAGUGGUCCUUGUUGAAGUAAACUUGGAAUCCCCCCACCCCACCCACCCCACCCCUGCCACCCACCCACCCACCUUCCUCUCGCCUGCUCUUCCCGUCCGUCGAAGUCCACGCCACGGCUGGGACCCGCCAAGGGUGACAUACGUCCCGGGGAUGAAGACGAGAGGCGAUCACUAUCCGCCAGGGCCAACCCGCGUUGCAAUUCCGCUGCCCCCCCCAACCCUCCACCCCGCGAGCUCGGGGGUGUCUCGGAGCAGCUCGCUGAGGGGCUGGUUCUGCCCCCGCCGUGCGUAGCCCGCUGCGAGAGACUCCCGUUACGCACGGGGUUGGGGGGGUGGCGGGGUCGCAAAUCCAGAGCAAUUGCGCACAAGAUGCCGGGAGAAACCCAGCAGGCCGGUCGGCAGCCGUGGCGAGGGGAAAACGAGUCGACGUUUCAGGGCCGAGACCCCUCGUCGGGACUGGGAAGGAAGUCGUGCGGGGGGGGGGGGGGGGAGA